rnacentral:lncRNA from 10 species
GCAGGUAAUGCUGCCACCAUGCCAAGAGGGUGAUGCACCCUAACCACAAGACAGACACCCCAGAACUCACUGUGUGAAACUCUUCAUCCAGCUGUUCAUCAGUAUCCUUCAUAACAUCCUUUCCAAUAUGCUAAUAUAUAGAAAGACACUGAAGGAAUUAAAUCAGCUUGUCCAGCAGCAAGCUUCAGAGCCAAAUAUAAGCACACCUCAUAAUUCAGAGACCUCGUGAUGGGUCCUCAGAAGACACACCCAGCAGCUGCCAAAUGAACAGCAGAUGACGGAAAGGGGCCCUUGGCCUGAUCUCUCAUGGGAGACAGUGACCUUUCCUGAGUUGAAGAUGGUGAAAUGCCAGAAGGAGCUGAUGAGGCUGUCCCACACACUGACACUGCUAUGAUAUCAUGAUUGAAUUUCACUUUUUUCUCCCACCAUAAUGUAAUUUCUGGGCAGUGAUUGGGGUGUUGAUUCAUAAACACCCCUUACUGUUCUGCAUUGGAUUAAUCAUGAUGUACUGUCUUUUUCUCACUAUUUACAAAGUACAGCACCAUGAGAAUCCCUGAAUUUUAGAAUAAGUUUCUCUCCACUGGAAUAUAACACAUAUUUUGGGUUCUUUGCCUGGACUGGUCAUUUCUUUCUUUUACUAAUUGUUGUGAAAGAAUGACAGAGAUGUACAACAUGGUUUUUGAAUGGAUGCUGAGUUUAACUCUCCCGCUUACCAGAGAUAAAGUUGGCCAUACACACACGUCUCUUAUAUAAGAGUUUAUUCAUUGGCAGACACUUUGAUGAUGACAUUGAGUUAGAUGAAAUACUGGUUCCAGUUUGUAGCACUUUAUGAAUUUUCAUGUAAAGUGAUCAUUCAAUUUAAGGUUUCUGCACACAUCUUACAAAGCAUAUCUGUUUAUCAGAGCUCAUUUACUUAAGAGGAUUAAAAUGAAAUCUCUCCUCAUGAGCCAAGGGUGAAAUAGCUAGUGUCCGCUCCUAAAUAUGUGAACUAAUAUGUUUUUCCAUGGGCAAGCAAGAUUUUGUUUUUCUCCUAUUUUUCUUCUUCAGAAGGAAAUGAUUAAAAUAUUAAUAACACAAAAAUAAAUAUACAUUAUAAAACUCAAAAAAAUAAGGAUUUUUAUUGGAGUAAAGUUUUUAGUGGAGUAAAUUAUACAAUAUUAAAAAAGCAAUGGAAUUUAAAAGCAUGCCAUUUUUAAGUUUCCCUUUAUUAAUACAUUAGCAUACACAAAAUCUCAAUUAAAAAUUGCUUUAAAAGAUACUAAGUGCCAUUCAACUCUUAUUCUUUUAUCAUCUUCAAAAUAGCUGUUUAAAUCUAUAUUUAUACAAAAUAGCUGUUUAAAAAAUAUCUUUUUUUAAUUUUUUUCAUUUUUUU